GACAGAGGGUGCAAACGUUGUUCGGAAUUACUGGGCGUAAAGCGCGUGUAGGCGGCCAUGCAAGUCGGAUGUGAAAGCCCUCGGCUCAACCGGGGAAGUGCACUCGAAACUGCAAGGCUAGAGUCUCGGAGAGGAUCGUGGAAUUCUCGGUGUAGAGGUGAAAUUCGUAGAUAUCGAGAGGAACACCGGUGGCGAAGGCGGCGACCUGGGUUGACACUGACGCUGAGGCGCGAAAGCGUGGGGAGCAAACAGG
rnacentral:rRNA from 1 species